GACGAACGCUGGCGGCGUGCUUAACACAUGCAAGUCGAACGGAAAGGCCUCUUUCGGGGGGUACUCGAGUGGCGAACGGGUGAGUAACACGUGAGUAACCUGCCCUUGACUUUGGGAUAACUUCAGGAAACUGGGGCUAAUACCGGAUAGGAGCUCCUGCUGCAUGGUGGGGGUUGGAAAGUUUCGGCGGUUGGGGAUGGACUCGCGGCUUAUCAGCUUGUUGGUGGGGUAGUGGCUUACCAAGGCUUUGACGGGUAGCCGGCCUGAGAGGGUGACCGGCCACAUUGGGACUGAGAUACGGCACAGACUCCUACGGGAGGCAGAAGGGGGGAAUAUUGCACAAUGGGUGGAAGCCUGAUGCAGCAACGCCGUGUGCGGGAUGACGGCCUUCGGGUUGUAAACCGCUUUCGCUCAUGACGAAGCUUUGUGUGACGGUAGUGGGUAAAGAAGCACCGGCUAACUACGUG
rnacentral:rRNA from 1 species